GAUGGAUCUGAAAAAGAACACAAUAAUAACACAAUAAAUAUAAAUAGAUAAGAUUUCUCACAUACAGUACAGUGCAAAAGUCUUAGUCACACACACAUAUAUAUAGCUAGGGUGCUGAAGACUUUUGCACAGUGCUGUAGUAAUUGUAUGUAUUACAACGUACUGCUGCCGUAAAAAAAAACAAAUCUCAUUUCAUAUGUGAGUGAUGAUAAACCUGAUUCUUCAACUGUCUCACCUUGAAAUUGCAAGGUUGAAAUCCUAUCAGUUCACAAACACGAGAAGGUCUGCAUUGGGGAGUGGGAAGGGGACAGGGAGAGGGAAGUCAUGGUGAGGGAAAGGAGAAGGGAGAGGGGAGGGAGCAGGAAACUCUAAAGAGACAGUCUGUCGUGAUCAAUAAACCAACAGUUUGGAAUCAAAUGACCUUGCCUGGUAUCUCUGGGCUGGGAGUGUCUUUGUGUGUGCCACACCCACCCAGCUCCUGGCAUUCCUUCUCUGCCACCUGUCCCACACCCCUCCCAUGGCGCUCCGCCUUUGCCAUUCCCAAUAUUCUAUGUUCCUGCCAGGAUUUACAAACUCGCUCUCUGUAGUGUGCAAAAGUCUUAAUCACCCUAGCUGUAUGUCGAAGACUUUUGCACAGUACUGUACACAGAUUGAUUUUAUGUCCAUAAAGAGAUGCUUGGCACAGGAAUGUCUGUACAUAAGGCGACUCUGACAGGAAAUGAUAACAUAGUGGUGGUGGGGAUGGUGAGAAGGGUUGGGUUAGUGGAGGGAGGUGUUGAUCAGCCUCAGUGUUUGAGAAAGUAGCUAUUUCGGAGACUGCUUCUCCUGACUUGGAUGCUACGUAACUUCCUCCGUGACGGGAGUGAGACUAACAGUCCAUGAGUGCGGUGAGUAGGAUCCUUCACAAUGUAACCGGCCCUUGAUGUGUACACGUCCUCGAUGUCAUUCUUUCUGCUAUGUAAUGCCCCUGAAUAUAACGAGUAGACGAGUGCCUUGUAAAUCUGAAGGGCAUACUCCGUGUGCACUGAUGCACAAACAAUAAAACCCAGUGCUCGCUGUUUUUAAAACAAUUUUUGCUUUUUAAAGCCAUAUUGCUUACUUUGAAUACAAUUCUGCAAAACAGCAGCGCGGAUUCUCAAGCAUCAUGGCGAUACCCAAAGAGAAUUCCAAGCACCCUGUAACCUCAGGAAGGCUCGGUGAACCCAUUGACAGAUCACCGUGGUCAGGUAUGUCAGGGGCUGCGAAGAAGAGAGCCAUCAGGACCAUCACAGAAGCUGCUGAGUGAGCCCCAGAUUGCUAUGGAUCAAGAGGUGUGACCCGUGGACCAACGCUGCUGGGGCACAAGCCGGGGCCUGAUCAAACCUGGCUGGUUCGCCUGGGCUGAGACACCCAGCGAACUCAGGUUACAUCACUGACGCUGUGUCCCAGUUCACCCUCGGAUGUAUCGCAGCACCUGGAUGCAAUCCUUCUUCCUGAUUCAGGUGCUGCCUGACGCAUUGAGAUUUUCCAGCAGGUUAUUGUGACAGAACUGUUAUUGACGCCUUCAAAAGGCGAUACUUCGAGAAGGCGUCACCCAUCGUUAAGGACCCCAGUACUCAGGACGUGCCCUCUUCUCAUUGUCACCAUCAGGGAGGAGGUACAGGACCAUAAAGACACAGGCUCACUGUUUUAGGAACAAUUCCUUCCCCUCUGUCAUCAGAUUUCUGAAUGGGCCAUGAACUCCCCCUCACUAUUUUGCUCUCUUUUGCCACUAUUUAUCUAUCUAUCUAUUUACUUAUUUAUUAUUGUAACUUAUUGUAUGUUUCAUGUAUUGUAUUGUCCAUGAAACAACAAAUUUCACGACAUACAGUCCUGUGCAAAAGUCUUAGGCACAUACAUAUAGCUAGGGUGCCCAAGAGUUUUGUAUAGUACUGUAGUAAUUUUAUAUAUUGUAUUGUACUGCUGCUGUAAAAAUAACUAACUUCAUUUCAUACGUGAAUGACGACAAACCUGAUUCUGAUAUGAGUCUCUAUUGUGGACUGAGAGUGGGAAGGGGGCAAGGAGAGGGCAGGGACACACACAAAAUGCUGGAGGAACUCAGCA